rnacentral:rRNA from 1 species
UGGGGAAUCUUGCGCAAUGGACGAAAGUCUGACGCAGCCACGCCGCGUGAGUGAAGAAGGCCUUCGGGUCGUAAAGCUCUGUCGUGCGGGACGAACAUCCAUACAGUUAAGAGCUGGGUGGACUGACGGUACCGCAAAAGGAAGCACCGGCUAACUUCGUGCCAGCAGCCGCGGUAAUACGAGGGGUGCAAGCGUUGCUCGGAUUUAUUGGGCGUAAAGGGUAGGUAGGUGGUCUCAUUUGUCUGGGGUGAAAGCCUUGAGCUUAACUCAAGAAGUGCCCCGGAAACGGUGAGACUAGAGUCUUGGAGAGGGUCGUGGAAUUCCCGGUGUAGCGGUGAAAUGCGUAGAGAUCGGGAGGAACACCAGAGGCGAAGGCGGCGACCUGGACAAGUACUGACACUCAACUACGAAAGCGUGGGGAGCAAACAGGAUUAGAUACCCCCGUAGUCC